rnacentral:rRNA from 1 species
CAGCCGCCGCGGUAAUACGUAGGGUGCAAGCGUUAAUCGGAUUUACUGGGCGUAAAGCGUGCGUAGGCGGCUUUUUAAGUCGGAUGUGAAAUCCCUGAGCUUAACUUAGGAAUUGCAUUCGAUACUGGGAAGCUAGAGUAUGGGAGAGGAUGGUAGAAUUCCAGGUGUAGCGGUGAAAUGCGUAGAGAUCUGGAGGAAUACCGAUGGCGAAGGCAGCCAUCUGGCCUAAUACUGACGCUGAGGUACGAAAGCAUGGGGAGCAAACAGGAUUAGAUACCCCCGUAGUCCCUGUCUCUUAUAC